CUACGGGUCGCUGCAGUGGGGAAUCUUAGACAAUGGGCGCAAGCCUGAUCUAGCCAUGCCGCGUGAGUGACGAAGGCCUUAGGGUCGUAAAGCUCUUUCGCUGGGGAAGAUAAUGACGGUACCCAGUAAAGAAACCCCUGCUAACUCCGUGCCAGCAGCCGCGGUAAUACGGAGGGGGUUAGCGUUGAUCGGAAUUACUGGGCGUAAAGCGCGCGUAGGCGGAUCAGAAAGUUGGGGGUGAAAUCCCGGGGCGCAACCCCGGAACUGCCUUCAAAACUCCUGGUCUUGAGUUCGAGAGAGGUGAGUGGAAUUCCGAGUGUAGAGGUGAAAUUCGUAGAUAUUCGGAGGAACACCAGUGGCGAAGGCGGCUCACUGGCUCGAUACUGACGCUGAGGUGCGAAAGCGUGGGGAGCAAACAGGAUUAGAUACCCGGGUAGUC
rnacentral:rRNA from 1 species